rnacentral:rRNA from 1 species
AUUGAACGCUGGCGGAAUGCUUUACACAUGCAAGUCGAGCGGCAGCGCGGGGCAACCUGGCGGCGAGCGGCGAACGGGUGAGUAAUGUAUCGGAACGUGUCCUGUCGUGGGGGAUAGCCCGGUGAAAACCGGAUUAAUACCGCAUACGAUCGAGAGAUGAAAGUGGGGGACCGCAAGGCCUCACGCGAUAGGAGCCGCCGAUAUCUGAUUAGCGAGUUGGUGGGGUAAAGGCCCACCAAGGGCUCGAUCAUGAGCUGGUCUGAGAGGAAGAUCAGCCACACCGGGACUGAGACACGGCCCAGACUCCUACGGGAGGCAGCAGUGGGGAAUUUUGGACAAUGGGGGCAACCCUGAUCCAGCCAUUCCGCGUGAGGGAAGAAGGCCUUCGGGUGGUAAAGCUCUUUUGUCCGGGAAGAAACGGUUUCAACUAAUACUUGAGACUACUGACGGUACCGGAAGAAUAAGGACCGGCUAACUACGUGCCAGCAGCCGCCGUAACAC